ACGAUUUCAUCCACAUGCUGUAAGCAAAUUGGAGAGGAAGUUUUUCAAAUUCAAAUUUAAAGGCAAUAUGGAUUAAGAUGGUAAAGGUGUAUGUGAUCCACCUCAUUUCAUUUCAUGGUAGCUGAUUCUAACGAAUGGAAUGGAUGAUUAGGUGUUUUGGCAUUUCCAUUCACCAGGAGAGGAUGCGAUCCCCACAACCCAACAUUAUAAAUACGAGCCAAGAUAUCCGAUUUCAAGACACCUUCUCUCACAAGAUUUGCCUCCAUGCUCCUCCAUCACAAGAACUUUGCAGCUCUACACCCGAAUCAAGUAAUAUCUCGACAUGAUUUUGGUCACUUGCUGCAUUCUCUGCAAUGGAGAGCUUGAUCAAAGUUUUUUCUAGGACCAUAUGUCAGUCAAAUCUCAUUUCCACCAUGUUGUGACGUAAAUUUUGUGCAUGGAGUAAUUUGAUCAAAUCAUGAAAUUUUCAUUGGUCAGCAUUAUGUGCUCAAAUUGUGCAUUGAUUUGGAGGAUAUUAUAUCUUAGCCGUACAUGAAACAGUAGCCUCACAUUUUGAUGGUGAGAUCUUUCAUUUUGAUGAUUAUUACCUUCCACAAUCAGUGUGUCUCAG
rnacentral:lncRNA from 1 species